UGUUGAAGUAGAUGUCUUCUUGGUGGGUU
rnacentral:piRNA from 1 species